rnacentral:rRNA from 1 species
AUUGAACGCUGGCGGCAUGCCUUACACAUGCAAGUCGAACGGCAGCACGGGAGCUUGCUCCUGGUGGCGAGUGGCGAACGGGUGAGUAAUACAUCGGAACGUACCCAGUAGUGGGGGAUAACGCACCGAAAGGUGCGCUAAUACCGCAUACGACCUAAGGGUGAAAGCGGGGGACCGUAAGGCCUCGCGCUAUUGGAGCGGCCGAUGUCUGAUUAGCUAGUUGGUGAGGUAAAGGCUCACCAAGGCUUCGAUCAGUAGCUGGUCUGAGAGGACGAUCAGCCACACUGGGACUGAGACACGGCCCAGACUCCUACGGGAGGCAGCAGUGGGGAAUCUUGGACAAUGGGCGAAAGCCUGAUCCAGCAAUGCCGCGUGUGCGAAGAAGGCCUUCGGGUUGUAAAGCACUUUUGUCAGGGAGAGAAAUCUCUUAGGCUAAUACCUUAGAAGGAUGACGUA